rnacentral:rRNA from 2 species
CACGCAGUAAACGAUGAAUACUAGCUGUAUGCGAUAUACUGUAUGUGGCAAAGCGAAAGCGUUAAGUAUUCCACCUGGGGAGUACGUUCGCAAGAAUGAAACUCAAAGGAAUUGACGGGGGCCCGCACAAGCGGAGGAACAUGUGGUUUAAUUCGAUGAUACGCGAGGAACCUUACCCGGGCUUGAAAUGCAUCUGACCGACGAGGAAACUUGUCUUCUAGCAAUAGCAGAUGUGUAGGUGC